UCGUGCUUUUGACGAUCUUCCUUUUCGUUUUAGUAGCUACGUACGGUACACGCGCUGCUGCCCGUUUCUUUGGUUCUCCGAUGGCUGCUGGCUGUACUCCUUCUUCUCUGGCAUCAGAAUCGAUGGUAUGCGAAUACAAAUGAACGAUCGGAUUCACUGACAUUUUGGUACAGCAAAUCAAAGAGCGUUUCAAGCAAUAAUUAUGACGCAGACGUGAUCCUCAACCCCUUCGAAACGAAAUUUAUGGCAUUUAUGCUGGUGAUAAAUCAAACAAUAAAACAAGAAUAGAACUUGACUAUGGAGAAGAGGACUUGAG